rnacentral:SRP_RNA from 12 species
AGGGCGUCGAUGAACGGGAUGGAGACGGUCAGGUUCGGCGGCAAGUAGCGCCAAGCGGGGUAGUCUGGGCUGCCACCGAUCGAGGCGUAGCACUCGAGCCAGU